CAAAGAGGACAAAAUAAGAAAAACCCAGAGAAUAUAUUCUCCCGCUGUUUGAUGUGUACGGUCGCGCAAUCAACCACCCAUUCCUGAAGGUCGCAUCAGGGAGCCACUACUUAAGAUCUCCAGAUUCCCUUCUCUGGUGUGCUGAGCCUGACGCUGAGUUUGAGAGAGAGUGUUACCUGUAAAUAUUGAAUGUGUGGAUUCCCUACCUCCCUGGACCCACCUG